UUGAAAGCUCCGGCGGUUGAAGAUGAGUAUGCGUCUGAUUAGCUAGUAGGUGAGGUAACGGCUCACCUAGGCUACGAUCAGUAGGGGAUCUGAGAGGACUAACCCCCACACUGGUACUGAGACACGGACCAGACUCCUACGGGAGGCAGCAGUAAGGAAUAUUGGUCAAUGGAGGCAACUCUGAACCAGCCAUGCCGCGUGCGACGUGCG
rnacentral:rRNA from 1 species